GCAUGCGCCCCCCCUCGGGCCGCCCCGGCGCACCUUUUCUCCCUCUUGCCACUGUGCGAGCGCCCCGCCGCCCACAGAACCGCCGACUCCCGCUCCACCCCCGCCCUCCGCCCACUCCGCCCACUCCCGAGCGCCCAGGACCCUGGCACUUGCUGCUGUGUAUCUGAAGCCUUGGUGACUAGUAGUUUGGAAGGCCUUGGGCCUCAGGGCAGGCAAGGAGAUCCCAGUUCCUCUGCUGUCUCUUAGAUGUUCCCUUCACAAACCUACCAAAAGAAGGGGGCUGCCAACCAAUGUCAUCACUCGACCUGUCACAAGAAGAGGGCAUUUGCUCUCAGUCAGACUGCUCGUUCUGGUGCCUCCUUCUUCAGUGGCUGGCACUGCAGCCUGGCAGUCAUUGCAACAUUUAGCACCCACAUCUGGCCUUAUUGGAAAAUCAGGCUUCUCUUAUCCUGGUUUCCUGGACUGGGAUAUUCUUCACUAACUUUCUCCUGAAGGUACUGGGCAGAAAACAACAGAACCCAUUUUUAAAAUUUAUUUAUUUACUUCUUUUUUUUUUUUUUUUUUUUUUUUGCAGUGGAAGAUUUGCCCUGAGCUAACAUCUGUGCCAAUCUUCCUCUAUUUUGUGUGUGGGUCACCACCACAGCAUGGCUGACAAGUGGUAGUCUCUGAAAUGGUGCUUAAAAAGGGUGAACACAGAAAUGUAGAAGUCAGCCACCACAAGAUGUCUAACCAAUUUUGAUGUGAAAACUCAAGUCCCACCUGAGAACACCAGGCUGAAUGCUGUGCUGCAGAGGAGAGCGGCCUGGACAUGGCCACCUCGUGGCCAUCUGCAUAAAGCCCCAGUUAGUGGCAAGAUUGAGCCUUACCCUGCAAACAAGGGCAAAGGAGAAGCAGGAGGGUGGAAUUUGCAGUGUCUCAUCUUGGUGAGAUAGUUGGAAGACUUUUCUACCAAUUAUAAUGGUUAAACACUGACUCAACAUCCAACAACUGCAUGAGCGGUCAGAGCGUUCAUUCAUGGGCAAGUUUCAAAAUGAGACCCGGAGCACCACCUGUCAUGGACGAUGGAGCCAGAGAACAGAGGGGUGGAUUUCACACCCAGAAAGGUGGCUGCUUUCUGGAGAGUCUGCAGGAGCCAAUACUUCCUAACACGGUGACAUUGGGAACUCAACUAAUCUUUCCCUCAUCUCCAGAAGGAAGAGAAGGACCAAGGUGAUGGAAGAGGCAGCCACGCUCUAGAAUACAAGCAUCCAUUGUUCUCAGAGGUGAACGUGAUACACAGUAUUUCAGAUGUGUGGAACUGAUAAAGUAGGAAACCG
rnacentral:lncRNA from 1 species